GGCGUGAUAGAUCGUUGUAGACACCUCAGAUCAAGCGAUUCGCUUUACUAUACUCGCCUGUGAGUAAUCAAAGACACAGCAAAAGACCUUUAUUUUUGUUCUGGAGACGAUCGCGCGCACUGCUGCCUCACUGGAGCGCACUCGCCACCAACUGGACAGGGCUGGGAAUUACAGUUAUAAACUACAAUAGAUCACCCUCAGUGUGUGUAAUCUGCCAAAGUGACGGACGGCCUUCAGAUUUUUCCGUCACUGCUAAAAAAAAAAUUUUCGGUUAACGCGACCUCUGGUAUGAUGUGACCUAACAGAAGCUUAUUAAAGGAAUAGUUCACACAAAAAUUAUGUGUUCAGUAGAAGAAAUAAAUUCAUACAGGUUUGGACCAACUUGAGGUUUUUGGUCACAUAUAAGUGUAAGCAGCUCUGCUGUGGAAACCUCUCUCCUCUUCUCCAGUAAAUGUAUCACAUCCUACAACCUCAUCAUCUGCAGAGAAAAAUCACCACUUACUCACACCAAAAUGAUGGACUUAAAGGCAUCAUAUUGAUUGGAUUGUGAUUGUUUCACUGAAACUUGGUCUUCAUCACAUCUAUUUUUUGUUCUUAUUUUGCGUUUUACUUCUUUAUUUAUUCAUUCAUGUUCAAUGUCAAUUGUCAUUCAUUAAUGUAUUCAGCUAAUAACUCUUGGUAAGAGCACUGACAAUUUUGCAUGUCAAUAAAAACACACUUAAUUCACACAACAUGCUGCUGUUGUGGUUAUUGUUGUUGUUGUUUUACUGUAAAACCUUAACCGAGGCUACACUCUUAAGAUGCCUCAUUACUGAUUUUCUGGAGAUCAGCCAUCCAACUACACAGACUGUCAACACACUCUCUUAAAAUGUCUAUAAAUUAUAACUUUCAAAUGCUAAUUGGUUUUUCUAUGUCUUUUCUAUUUUUAGUUUAAGAGAACAUGUAAUUGUGACCAGCUCUAUUCAGAUGCUGUCACAUCCUUCAACCUCAUCAUCUGCAGAGAGAAACUGCCAUUCAAUCACACCAAAAUACAGAUAACGAUUAACUAAGGGGCAUUGUAGAGGAUUGUGACGAUAUUUCACUGGAGCUUGGUCUUCAAUUCACUAUUUUAUGUUCUAUUUUGUUUUACUUCUUUAAGCAGUUAUUUAUGUUCAAUGUCCAUUGUCAUUCAUUAAUGUAUUCUGCUAAUAACUGUUGUUAGAACACUGUCAUUUUUGCUACAAUUUCACGUCAUUAAAAAAAAAAAAGUACAUAAUUGACACGUUGUUGUUGAUUUUAUGUAAAACCCUAGACACUUCAA